rnacentral:rRNA from 1 species
GAUAAACGCUGGCGGCGUGCAUGAGACAUGCAAGUCGAACGAAGGAUCGGGCUUGCUCGAUCCUUAGUGGCGGACGGCUGAGUAACGCGUAGGUGACCUACCCCGAAGUGGGGAAUAACUGCCCGAAAGGGUGGCUAAUACCGCAUGUGGUCGCACGUUCAUUCGUGCGAGUAAAGCCGCAAGGCGCUUCGGGAGGGGCCUGCGUCCGAUUAGCUCGUUGGUGGGGUAAUGGCUUACCUAGGCGACGAUCGGUAGGUGGUCUGAGAGGACGAUCACCCAGACUGGGACUGAGACACGGCCCAGACUCCUACGGGAGGCAGCAGUCGGGAAUUUUGCUCAAUGGGGGAAACCCUGAAGCAGCAACGCCGCGUGAGGGAUGAAGGCCUUCGGGUUGUAAACCUCUUUUGUCAGGGACGAUGAUGACGGUACCUGGCGAAUAAGCCACGGCUAACUACGUG